GACGUAGGGCGCGAGCGUUGUCCGGAUUUAUUGGGCGUAAAGCGCUCGUAGGCGGCUUGUCGCGUCGACUGUGAAAACCCGUGGCUCAACUGCGGGCCUGCAGUCGAUACGGGCAGGCUAGAGUUCGGUAGGGGAGACUGGAAUUCCUGGUGUAGCGGUGAAAUGCGCAGAUAUCAGGAGGAACACCGGUGGCGAAGGCGGAUCUCUGGGCCAUUACUGACGCUGAGGAGCGAAAGCGUGGGGAGCGAACAGG
rnacentral:rRNA from 1 species